AGAGGCCGUUGCGGCCGCGGAGAAGGAGUGGUGUGAAUCAGGGAGGCGAUGUGGUGGGCAGAGAGAAGGACAGUUGAAGAAAUAGAGCGGAGGAGCAGUUGGUGAAGGAGAUGGAGGUGACGAGACGGAAUUAAUUGGGAGCCGGCGUCGCAGGUUAUGACAGUGGUGGGGGUUUGAAGGAGGGACGGUGGUCGCAGGGGUUUUGACGGUAUUGAGAGGUUCGAGGGCUUUGACAUGUUGUUGCAUGUGGGUCUAAUGGAGGUGCGAGGAGUGGGAGAGGUGCGUAGAAAGGGAGAAAUGGUUGGAGAAGGAUUUGGGGAGAGGGAAGGAAUGGGAUUGCUAAUCACUUGGUCAUAAAUACACAUCUUCUCGGUCCAGUGCUGGGAUGUUUGAAAAUGACUACUAUAGACCAUCAGCAUUACUUGGAGACUGGUGAUAUACCAGGAGUUGCAGGGAUGAUAGAUUCCUUUUAAUAUGUGGACUGGAGGUGCAGUACGUGGGAGAUGAGCAACAAAUCUUCUAGAGCUUUUGAGAGGCCGUGUGGUUUUAGAAAUGGUCGGACCAUCGGAGGUCGUUUGAGGAAAGGCCACCACCUGCUUCAGAUACUAAUACUACUGUGAUGAACUCUUGGGAACCAGCUAGGAAUGUUAAAUGAAAGUAUUUAUAUAAUUAGUUACAUAAAAUUGAGUAAUUUCAUUUUAUUUCUAUAUAUUACAUUUUCAAGUAACAAAUAUCUAAAUCAAAAUAAUUCGAAGUA